rnacentral:lncRNA from 1 species
UAGACUGUCUCGAGGAUGCCUACGGAGCUGGCUGCACUUCAGAAUGUCAGUGUGUGGAGGAGAAUACCCUGGAAUGCAGUGCCAAAAAUGGUAGUUGCACCUGCAAAUCUGGUUACCAAGGCAACAGAUGCCAGAAAGAUGGCCUCUGGGGACCAGAGGGCUGGUUCUCCUCUGCACCCUGUGAAAAUGGAGGUCAGUGCAACAAAAAAACUGGAAAUUGUGACUGCACUCCUGAUUACACAAGAAAAUCCUGUACCAUAUUGAGAUGCAUUUCCCUUACCAAUCUGGCUCUCAGCAGGCGGUCCAGCCCGAUGAAGUAUCAGCAAAAUGUCAGCUCCCACAGAGAAGUGCGACAGAGGCAACAGUGCAGCAGUGACAGGCCUUUCAAAAAGCUAUUGUGCAAAUUCAGUUUUAAAAUAGGGAUGUAGUUGAGGACUGAUGGGUAUUUCAUUACCAAUGCGUUCAUCUCCCCCAUCGUCCAAGAGAAUGAGAGGGGGUCAUGGUGCAGCUGAUAUAAAGCCAUUAAGUUGAGUAGCGGUUGAUUUGGUCUGUAGAAGAUUUGUCUUCCUAUCUGUAUUUUUGAAAAGUUAAUAUUCAAAUUAGCUGUCAUUUUUAGUACAUACCUGCUAAAGGGGGGCCAAGAAUUGUUCUGUUUUCUACUUGAUCACCUUCCAGUGUCUCAAUUAGAUCAUUAAAAACAAAGUUAAUCAUGUCA